UCCUCUGUAGUUCAGUCGGUAGAACGGCUGACUGUUAAUCCGUAUGUCACUGGUUCGAGUCCAGUCAGAGGAGCCA
rnacentral:tRNA from 2 species